rnacentral:lncRNA from 1 species
GCUAGCUUAUUGUAGAGCCCUUUUGACGGUGGAUGCUGAUCGAACUUCUUCGAUCGAUGUCUGUCGAUUCUUUGGAUGCUCCAGAUCAUCAACAGACAUUCUUGAGAGAAUGUUGAAGAUCUCUCUGAGAUUUUGUGGGCUCAUGAUACUCGUAGCUCACUUUCUCACUUCCCGAACCCCAGGCUAAAACUCUAGGAAACUCACUGGAAACCUUGCACCCACUUUUCUUUCUUUUCUUUCUUUUUCUCUUGGAAGGAUAUGGACUUCCUUCUCAUACACAAGACUUCUCACACCCCAAAAUUUUUUUCCAAAAAACUUCUUCUUACACGCCCC